rnacentral:rRNA from 1 species
CCCUUGAUGUUCUGGGCCGCACACGCGCUACACUGAAGGAGGCAGCGUGUACUCCUGGAUCGAAAGAUUUGGGUAACCCGCGAAUCUCCUUCGUGCUAGGGAUUGAGGUUUGCAAUUAUCCUUCAUGAACGAGGAAUUCCCAGUAAGUGCAAGUCAUAAGCUUGCGCUGACUACGUCCCUGCCCUUUGUACACACCGCCCGUCGCUACUACCGAUUGAAUGAUUUAGUGAGGACUUCGGACUGGGACCGAUGCGGCUUUCGGGCUGCGUCGGUAUUCUGGAAAGAUGUCCAAACUGUAUCAUUUAGAGGAAGUAAAAGUCGUAACA